rnacentral:rRNA from 1 species
UACGUAGGGUGCGAGCGUUGUCCGGAAUUAUUGGGCGUAAAGGGCUCGUAGGCGGUCUGUCGCGUCGGGAGUGAAAACUCAGGGCUUAACCCUGAGCCUGCUUCCGAUACGGGCAGACUAGAGGUAUGCAGGGGAGAACGGAAUUCCUGGUGUAACGGUGAAAUGCGCAGAUAUCAGGAGGAACACCGGUGGCGAAGGCGGUUCUCUGGGCAUUACCUGACGCUGAGGAGCGAAAGUGUGGGGAGCGAACAGG